rnacentral:rRNA from 1 species
AUUGAACGCUGGCGGCAUGCUUUACACAUGCAAGUCGAACGGCAGCGCGGGGCAACCUGGCGGCGAGUGGCGAACGGGUGAGUAAUAUAUCGGAACGUACCCAAGAGUGGGGGAUAACGUAGCGAAAGUUACGCUAAUACCGCAUACGAUCCAAGGAUGAAAGCAGGGGAUCUUCGGACCUUGUGCUCCUGGAGCGGCCGAUAUCUGAUUAGCUAGUUGGUGAGGUAAAGGCUCACCAAGGCCACGAUCAGUAGCUGGUCUGAGAGGACGACCAGCCACACUGGAACUGAGACACGGUCCAGACUCCUACGGGAGGCAGCAGUGGGGAAUUUUGGACAAUGGGCGAAAGCCUGAUCCAGCAAUGCCGCGUGAGUGAAGAAGGCCUUCGGGUUGUAAAGCUCUUUUGUCAGGGAAGAAACGGUGAGGGCUAAUAUCCUUCGCUAAUGACGGUACCUGAAGAAUAAGCACCGGCUAACUACG